rnacentral:rRNA from 1 species
AAUAGAUACCCGGGUAGUCCACGCUGUAAACGAUGGGUACUAGGUUUGGUGGGUCUUGACCCCCGCUGAACCGGCGCUAACGCACUAAGUACCCCGCCUGGGAAGUACGGUCGCAAGACUAAAACUCAAAGGAAUUGACGGGGGGCCCGCACAAGCGGUGGAUCAUGUGGUUUAAUUCGAAGCAACGCGAAGAACCUUACCUGGGUUUGACAUCCUCUGACAUCCGUAGAGAUACGGCCUUCGUAGCAAUACGACAGAGAGACAGGUGCUGCAUGGCUGUCGUCAGCUCGUGUGGUGACAUGUUGGGUUAAGUCCCGCAACGAGCGCAACCCCUGUCCUUAGUUGCCAGCAUUCAGUUGGGCACUCUAGGGAGACUGCCGUGGUGAACACGGAGGAAGGUGGGGAUGACGUCAAGUCCUCAUGGCCUUUAUAUCCAGGGCGACACACGUGAUACAAUGGACGGUACAGAGGGAAGCGAAACCGCGAGGUGGAGCCGAAUCUCAAAAAGCCGUUCUCAGUUCGGAUUGGAGU